CCCUUAGAUGUUCUGGGCCGCACACGUGCUACACUGAGUGGAUCAGCGGGUCAGGUUGCGCGAAAGUGUUUCCUAAUCUUUAAAUCCGCUCGUGAUGGGGAUUGACGGUUGCAAUUUUCCGUCAUGAACGAGGAAUACCUUGUAAGCGCGGGUCAUCAUCCCGCGCUGAAUACGUCCCUGCCCUUUGUACACACCGCCCGUCGCUCCUACCGAUUGAGUGGUCCGGUGAGGCUUUGGGAUCUGAGCGGAAAGAGCGUUUCGCUGUUUCUGCUCGGAAAACUCAGUCGAACCUUAUCAUUUAGAGGAAGGAGAAGUCGUAACA
rnacentral:rRNA from 1 species